ACACAGCAACGAGCCCUCAGCGCCAAGCUAAUCUAGUCAGUUUCAUGUGGGAGAGAAACAACAACUUCAUGUAUAUAAUUAAUGAAAGACGGUUUAAAAUGUUUGUAUCAUCGAUGUGGACGCUCGUCAACAGGAUCGUUCGUCCCCUUCACCUCUACUUCAAUUUACCCCACUGUCAAUCACCAGGAGAAGGACCGUCCACGCAGCCAUACCUAGCGAUAAGCUUCACUGUGAGGCUCCUGCGGGCCGUUAAUGGAGUUUUGGUGCUGUAACAGGUGACCUGACCGAGAGAAGAAUUCAAACUGUCGGCCAUCACAGAGCAACAGAUGGAGGUGCACAACAGGAUAUUACCACUAAGAGGAUUCCUGUUUCUUUGCCUGUCACUCUGGACUUUUUUUUUGUUUUUUUUUUGUGGGGACAGACUCUUUCAUCGUGACCCAGCUCGACUGGCUUACAGGAACCGGUGUCGAGUUGUUGGUUGAGCCCUCUGAAACCCGCCACUGCCCAUGUUGACCUGCUUGGCAAACAGAAAUCCCUGAUCAAGUCCGCUGUGAAUUACAUUAAAGUAAGUAACCAAGUGGGAUUAUAAAGUCCUCGCAGUGUCUUGGUUCUCUGAUCUCUGACCUCUUACUCAGAACUCUAAGGUAUGUGCCAGCUCUCUACAUGUAAUACACCCUUACAAAGAGCAACGUGCGCCUCCCAUCAGGAGGUAGGUGUUAGAAUUUCAUUUGCAAAGAUUAUGUGGUAAUGCAUCAUUAAAUACAACUAGAUCUCCCCUUAUCUCUGAACAUUCACUUUUAAUUGUCUAAAUGUACUUACUUACAAAGGAUCCUGCGAGCUAAGCCAAAAAUCGGACGAGUGUGAAUUCAUUCUGUGGCCAUUAUUAGCGUUAAAGUUUUCACUUUUCCUUGCUUCAAAUUGGAAGCUAAAAGAAGGUCAAGGAUAUACACUACCAUUCAAAAGUUUGGAUCACCCAGGCAAUUUCAUGCUUUCUAUGAAAAGUCAUACUUUCAUUCAUGUGCUAACAUAACCGCACAAAGGUUUUCUAAUCAUCAAUUAGCCUUUUAACAUUAGCUAACACAAUGUAGCAUUAGAACACAGGAGUGAUGGUUGCUGGAAAUGUUCCUCUGUACCUCUAUGCAGAUAUUCCAUUAAAAAUCAGCUGUUUCAAGCUAGAAUAGUUAUUUACCACAUUAGCAAUGUCCCGACUGUAUUUCUGAUUCAUUUAGUGGUUUUUUCAUUGAAAAAACUGCUUUACUUUCAAAAACAAGGACAUUUCCAAGGGACCCCGAACUUUUGAACAUGUGUACAUUUGAGAUGACACAAACAGUCAGUUGUUUUUCGUCUCAGUAACAUCUUAAUAACUGAGUCAUGCUCAUUCAUUCAAUGAAAAUGUACUCAAAAGUAUUUGAAUAUGUGGCAAUAAGUGUUGUACAAAGUACUAAUGAAAUAAUGCUUGACUUUGUGUUGCAUACUGACAUGUUUUGCUAUGUUUUUAACUUGUACGUAAAAUGUAAAAAGGAAAUAAAAACUCCAAAGUUUUUUCUGUGUUAUGGGGCUUAAUUGGAUUAUUUUUGUCCUCAAUCCUUGGAAAUGUGACUUUACAAAAAAAAUUGAACGCUAUUCACGGCAGCAACUUGAUUCCGUCGAUAAACUUUAUUGUGCCAGUGUGUUCCAGAGAAGUGCCCCCUUUCUCAUGGUGCACAAAGACAUGCGGAGUCUUCUACUGUGCUUUAUCUCCAUGCACUGUCUGAAAGAAAUGCUGUUUUUCUCCCUUUUGCUUCACCCAGGUCAAACUAUAGCUGCAUGAUUGAGUUUACCUUGCCUUAGUGUGCAAAAGAAUUGGGAGUUUUGUUCAUUCAUGCUUUGUGUGGAAGAGGCAGUUCUCUGUUCAUGGCAUAAUACAUUUCAUCCGACUGAAAGACCAGAGCUGCCGUCCAUCUUGAAUUUUUACUUUCUUUAAAAUGGUGCUCGAAUGCAGGCAACAUGCAGCAUGGUAUGUAUGUCGACACAGAUCCAGGCGAGGUAUCUUUAUUUUUUUGUGUGUUACCACUAUCAAAUGACAGUAUUUGCAGUUUUUUGUAUGGUUUAUGAGGAAAUGCACAUCAGAUAGUUUGAUUAUUAGAAUCAUAGUCGCUGGUUUUGAAUUUUCGCAAUCACCUUAGAAAUUAUACGUUUGUGAUCUCUGGGAGCCUCAUCGAUAUUUUUGCAUCAUAACCAAAGAUGAUCAGACCUCUGCUACUGAACUGAAUUUCCUGACAGAGGAGCUCAGACUGGCUAAGUCAGUGUUUUCUUUACAAAACAUUGUUGGAAACCUGCUUUUAUAAUACCAUCUUCUGUUCACAUUUGUUCUUUUUUAUUGUGGUUAUUUUUACAUAUUGUUUUUAUCUUUUAUUCUUUGUAUUUUUAACAUUUGUUAUGUGCAGCACAAAGUGUUAAUUAAAUAAAGUUACUCUACAGUUAUAUUUUGGACUCACUGAAUUUAAUUUAGUAGCGUAUCUUCUGUAUACACUGCCGUUCAAAAGUUUGGGGUCACCCAGACAAUUUUAUGUUUUCCAUGAAAACUCACACUUUCAUUCAUGUACUAACCUACUUGCACAAUGGUUGUCUAAUCAUCAGUUAGCCUUUCAGCACCAUUAGCUAACACAAUGUAGCAUUAGAACACAGGAGUGAUGGUUGCUGGAAAUGUUCCUCUGCACCCCUAUGUAAAUAUUCCAUUAAAAAUCAGCUGUUUCCAGCUAGAAUAGUCAUUUACCAAAUUGACAAUGUCUAGACUGUAUUUCUGAUUAAUUUAAUGUUAUCUUCAUUGAAACAAAAACUGCUUUUCUUUCAAAAAUAAGGACGUUUCUGAGUGACCCCAAACUUUUAAACAGUAGUAACGGUAUAUAUCUAUAUCGAUAUAAUCAGUAAUCCUCAAGCCAUGUCAUGUAAGUGAUUUCACACACAUACUGGUCUUUAAAGGUGAAUGUAAAGGUA